GUCCAUAUCAGGCAUGGAGAUCUUCGGUCCUGAUAUUGAUGGCAUCUUGAAUUUUGGUCCUUUGAUUUUUCCAUCUGGACCUUCAAUGUCAAGAUCUGGACCUUCAAUGUCUACUUUUGGUGCUUUGAUGUCUAUAUCAGCUUUUGGUAGGUUAACAUCAACAUCUGGACCCUCCAAUUUAGGACCUUUGAAUCCAAAUGAUGGCAUCUUCAUCUUUGGCAUCUUAAAUCCUCCUGAACCUUCAAUGUCAAGAUCUGGCCCCUCUAUGUCUACUUUGGGUGCUUUGAGGUCUCCUUCUAUCUUGGGCCCUGACACAUCGAAAUCUCCUUUCAUCUUUGGACCUUUCAGGUUGAAGUCCAC